ACGACGCUGGCGGCGUGCCUAACACAUGCAAGUCGAACGGGGCGGAGGAAGCUUGCUUCCGAAGCUUAGUGGCGAACGGGUGAGUAACGCGUGAGGAACCUGCCUUUCAGUGGGGGACAACAGUUGGAAACGACUGCUAAUACCGCAUAAUGUAUCUGGACCGCAUGAUCCGGAUACCAAAGCUUUAUGUGCUGAAAGAUGGCCUCGCGUCUGAUUAGCUAGUUGGAGGGGUAACGGCCCACCAAGGCGACGAUCAGUAGCCGGUCUGAGAGGAUGAACGGCCACAUUGGGACUGAGAUACGGCCCAGACUCCUACGGGAGGCAGCAGUGGGGAAUAUUGCACAAUGGGCGAAAGCCUGAUGCAGCGAUGCCGCGUGAGGGAAGACGGUCUUCGGAUUGUAAACCGCUUUCAGCAGGGAAGAAGCAAGUGACGGUACCUGCAGAAGAAGUCACGGCUAACUACGUG
rnacentral:rRNA from 1 species